AGGGGGAUAUUGGACAUGGGGGAAACCCUGAUCCAGCGACGCCGCGUGAGUGAGAAGUAUUUCGGUAUGUAAAGCUCUGUCAGCAGGGAAGAAAGAAAUGACGGUACCUGACCAAGAAGCUCCGGCUAACUAC
rnacentral:rRNA from 1 species